AGAGUUUGAUCCUGGCUCAGGAUGAACGCUGGCGGCGUGCUUAACACAUGCAAGUCGAACGAAGCACUCAGGAGCGACUUCGGUCAAUCCUGUUUGACUUAGUGGCGGACGGGUGAGUAACGCGUGAGGAACCUGCCUCGCAGUGGGGAAUAACAGUUGGAAACGACUGCUAAUACCGCAUAAUGCACCGAGAUCGCAUGGUCUUGAUGCCAAAGAUUUAUCGCUGUGAGAUGGCCUCGCGUCUGAUUAGCUAGUUGGUGAGGUAACGGCCCACCAAGGCGACGAUCAGUAGCCGGACUGAGAGGUUGAUCGGCCACAUUGGGACUGAGACACGGCCCAGACUCCUACGGGAGGCAGCAGUGGGGAAUAUUGGGCAAUGGGCGCAAGCCUGACCCAGCAACGCCGCGUGAAGGAAGAAGGCUUUCGGGUUGUAAACUUCUUUUAUUAGGGACGAUAAUGACGGUACCUAUUGAAUAAGCUCCGGCUAACUACGUGCCAGCAGCCGCGGUAAUACGUAGGGAGCAAGCGUUAUCCGGAUUUACUGGGUGUAAAGGGCGUGUAGGCGGGACUGCAAGUCAGAUGUGAAAACUAUGGGCUCAACUCAUAGCCUGCAUUUGAAACUGUAGUUCUUGAGUGCUGGAGAGGCAAAUGGAACUCCUAGUGUAGCGGUGAAAUGCGUAGAUAUUAGGAAGAACACCAGUGGCGAAAGGCGAUUUGCUGGACAGUAACUGACGCUGAGGCGCGAAAGUGUGGGGAGCAAACAGGAUUAGAUACCCUGGUAGUCCACACCGUAAACGAUGGAUACUAGGUGUGGGGGGUCUAACCCCCCUCCGUGCCGCAGUUAACACAUUAAGUAUCCCACCUGGGGAGUACGAUCGCAAGGUUGAA
rnacentral:rRNA from 1 species